rnacentral:rRNA from 1 species
GUGUCAGCCGCCGCGGUAAUACGUAGGGUGCGAGCGUUAAUCGGAAUUACUGGGCGUAAAGCGUGCGCAGGCGGUUCGUCAAGUCUGAUGUGAAAGCCCCGGGCUCAACCUGGGAAUGGCAUGGGAAACUGACGGGCUGGAGUAUGGCAGAGGGGGGUGGAAUUCCGCGUGUAGCAGUGAAAUGCGUAGAGAUGCGGAGGAACACCGAUGGCGAAGGCAGCCCCCUGGGCCAAUACUGACGCUCAGGCACGAAAGCGUGGGGAGCAAACAGGAUUAGAAACCCCUGUAGUCC